GUGCAUCUCUUUGACGUCAACAUGCCUGGUGAACUGGUCAUCCAAGAGUCUUACUGCAUCUCUCCUGGCAACACCUUGACCACCUUUGACCUCCCCCAGUGUAAGAUUGGUCUUGGCAUUUGUUACGACAUGAAUUUUCCAGAAAUGGCCCGGCUCUAUGCAAAGUUGGGUUGCAAAGUGGUGCUGUACCCCGGAGCCUUCAGCAUGGUCACCGGCCCGACCCAGUGGGAGCUGCUGCAACAAUGCCGUGCCCUUGACAACCAGGUGUACGUGGUGACCGUUUCUCGCGCUCGCAACACAAACCAUUCUUACGUGUCAUGGGGUCACUCUUCUAUUGUCAAUCCCUUCGGGAAGGUCAUCGCCACUUGUGAGGAAAAGGAGACCAUCGUCUAUGGUGACCUGGACAUGGAGUACGUGAAUAAGGUGCGGCAAAUGUUUCCUCUCCUGAAGCAGCUGCGGGACGACGUCUACGAGGUGAUGGCCAAGUAAGAACAGGAGGCCGUAAGUUUAGGGAUGGUGUGAGCAGAGAGGAGGAAACACCUCAUCCUAGAGACCUGGGGUUCAUGUCAAGGAUAGUAAUUAUGUACAAAAACUUUCAUGAGCAGUAUCCUGUAUGUACUUUUCUAAAAGUCAGUCUUGUAAAAAUUCUCCCCGACACUGUUCUUGAACUGCAUUACUUGCUUGCCCUUACACUGUUUGGGGCCCGACUGUACUGGUGAUUCAUUUCUCAACCCGGGAUUGGGCAGAAUGGCCUGUCUACAAUUAUCAUAUUAUGGUUUACAAAUUAGGAUUUUAUUAUACAUUGCAUAAUAAAAUUGUAUUCCUAGCCCUCAUCCCUGUAGUGGUGUGUGGCAUUAGUGCAUGGGGAUGGAAGGGUUACGGUGGGGGAUGUAGCAUCUUUGUUGGGUACUCCUAGCCCUCAUCCCUGUAGUGGUGUGUGGCAUUAGUGCAUGGGGAUGGAAGGGUUAAGGUGGGGGAUGUAUCAUCUUUGUUGGGUAUUCCUAGCCCUCAUCCCUGUAGUGGUGUGUGGCAUUAGUGCAUGGGGAUGGAAGGGUUAAGGUGGGGGAUGUAUCAUCUUUGUUGGGUACUCCUAGACCUCAUCCCUGUAGUGGUGUGUGGCAUUAGUGCAUGGGGAUGGAAGGGUUAAGGUGGGGGAUGUAGCAUCUUUGUUGGGUACUCCUAGCCCUCAUCCCUGUAGUGGUGUGUGGCAUUAGUGCAUGGGGAUGGAAGGGUUAAGGUGGGGGAUGUAGCAUCUUUGUUGGGUACUCCUAGCCCUCAUCCCUGUAGUGGUGUGUGGCAUUAGUGCAUGGAGAUGGAAGGGUUAUGGUGGGGGAUGUAGCAUCUUUGUUGGGUAUUCCUAGCCCUCAUCCCUGUAGUGGUGUGUGGCAUUAGUGCAUGUCUCAUACAAACAGAUCU